rnacentral:rRNA from 1 species
GGUGAAGUCACAUGGCUUUACCGCCAAAGAUUUAUCGGUGAGGGAUGGACCUGCGUCUGAUUAGCUGGUUGGUGAGGUAACGGCCCACCAAGGCAACGAUCAGUAGCCGACCUGAGAGGGUAAUCGGCCACAUUGGAACUGAGACACGGUCCAAACUCCUACGGGAGGCAGCAGUGGGGAAUAUUGCACAAUGGGCGCAAGCCUGAUGCAGCAACGCCGCGUGAGCGAAGAAGGUCUUCGGAUCGUAAAGCUCUGUCCUCAGGAACGAAGAAGUGACGGUACCUGAGGAGGAAGCCCCGGCUAACUACGUGCCAGCAGCCGCGGUAAUACGUAGGGGGCGAGCGUUAUCCGGAAUUAUUGGGCGUAAAGAGUACGUAGGCGGUUCUGUAAGCGUGAGGUGAAAGCCCGGGGCUUAACUCCGGUAAGCCUUUCGAACUGCAGGACUUGAGUGCUGGAGGGGAAAGUGGAAUUCCUAGUGUAGCGGUGAAAUGCGUAGAUAUUAGGAGGAACACCAGUGGCGAAGGCGACUUUCUGGACAGUAACUGACGCUGAGGUACGAAAGCGUGGGGAGCAAACAGGA